GUACCAUUUUAAGCCCGAAUUUGGCCCGGCCCGGCCCGACCAUCUACUCCACCAUCCGUCCAUCUGCCUAAACAGGCCAAACAGGCCCAGCCUGCCGGUGCCCUAACCGCAUAUGAACCGCACGUCCGCACCCCACUCCUCCAUCCGCCGACCGCCGCACACAACGCACUCGUCCCGUGCGAAGAUAGAGCGACCAGGGGUAACGGCGAUGGCGGCGCCCCUGAUCUGCUCGCCGUAGCCCCUUCCUCGACGACGGCCACCGCAGCUCCUUCCUCGCCAUCGACCGUCGCAGCUCCUUCCUCGCCGUCCCCCGCAGCAGCUCCUCCCUCGACGGUAACUGCAGCAGCUCCUCCCUCGCCGCCCCCCGCAGCAGCUCCUCCCUCGCCGGCCCCCGCAGCAGCUCCUCCCUCGCCGGCCCCCGCAGCAGCUCCUCCCUCGCCGGCCCCCGCAGGCCGCAAUGACAUCAAUUGUCGCACAUCCUUCCUCGCCUACUGCCGCACCUCAUUCCUCACUGAUUGAAAGUCAGAUCUGAAAUUUCCUACGGAGUAAUUUCUUUGGCAGAUGGAGAACGGGAACGAAAAUCGGGUGUCCCAGUUUGGGAGCACUGUACCAGAGUGGAGAUCUGGAGGCUAUUUUGAAGAUCUGGAGGCUGUUUUCACGCUGUUUGAUGUGAAAACAGUUUGCUGUCAAACAUGUUGUAAACCGUACUAUUAUGUCAUAAACGUUGCUAUUUUGUUGUAUUUCUAUCGAGUGCUAUGUUAAACAAUACCAACAGCGACAACUACGGCCAGAAUAGCCAUAUUUUUUCUGCUCA